rnacentral:rRNA from 1 species
CAGAUUGUAAGGAAUCGUACCCCAAACCGACACAGGUGGUCGGGUAGAGAAUACCAAGGCGCUUGAGAGAACUCGGGUGAAGGAACUAGGCAAAAUGGUACCGUAACUUCGGGAGAAGGUACGCUCUUGAUGGUGAAGUCCCUUGCGGAUGGAGCUGACGAGAGUCGCAGAUACCAGGUGGCUGCAACUGUUUAUUAAAAACACAGCACUGUGCAAAAUCGUAAGAUGACGUAUACGGUGUGACGCCUGCCCGGUGCCGGAAGGUUAAUUGAUGGGGUUAGACUUC